GUAUCAUCAACAGUUACAGCGAAUAUCACAUACACAGACAAAGAACAAAUUUAUGGUGUAUUUAUUUACAGUGAAACAAUUUUCAAUGAACAGAAAAUGCAGAUUACGAAUGCAGUAUGCCUGGGUGAAAUCGACAAAACAGAAACACGAUAAUUAUAACUGUAUUUUUAUCUAACACUGAUAUCGAGACAAUAUUGCUUGUACUGUGUCCAGAGCUAUCGACAACUCUGCCACCUAGACUGAACCAAAAAUUAAACCUCGAGUGGCUUUAUCCAGUCAAUUAAAUCUUAGGAUCGUUUUUCAUAUAUUGAAUAUGAGCGUUACCAAUCCUGUAUAAGUCCAACUAAGAUGAUCAGACUACUAAUAUACCAAUGUAUUUUCAUGUCAAUAUUAUUCUUAGACUUUUGAA